GUUACACUUGCCCACACACAAAAUUGCAUCCAACAAAACUGUCAUUAGUUAGUAUGUUUUACAUGUGUUUUUCCAUUGGAUUUAAUUUUGUAUUAAAGAAAGAAUUGUGAAAAUAUUAAUGGUGUAAUUAAUAUGCACCCGAACUACAUUUGUCACUCAGUGUAGCGAUAAUUCAAAAUAUCAUUGUCGCCAGAUCUGGAGAAAUUGCCACUGCGUCUUUAGACUGUCUUCGUCAGACAUGAGUGGUUGGUGACAUAUAGAUAGCCUUCUGUGCUUAUUUUGCUGCAAUGAUAGAAACAGCAGACAUAUUGUGUGCUGGGAGACUGACAAGUAUGUCAGUAUGCUCUGUGUGAACUUAUCACAUCAUUGCAUCGUGUACUCCUGUAAAGUGAGUAAGGUCUUUGCUUUUGUGGAUUCUAGAAUACUUUAUCCUAUGAACUUCAGAAAUGACAUAGGCAUACAGCCAGGUGGUCCAUCAAUAACACAAAUAAGCUGUCAGAAAUAGUGCAAUGUCUUGAAAGAUUUAAUAACACGGCAUAUGGUCCAACGAAAUCAGGACCUGUUGCAUUUAUCUUCACAAUGCAUAAUGAAGGGAAGAUCACUCAAGCCACUCUUAGACAUUUCUGGAGUAGCCGACUCCAGACUUUCUAAUCGGCUACGCUCCCCAGCAAGGAGAGGCACUAGUAUUAGCAUUUUAAGAUCAGAGUCUGCCUCACAGGCGACCUCACACAUCCCUAAAUAUAAAUGGCAACAAAUUACAAGCAUGUAUGAACAAACUACAUGAAUAAAUGUCAUCUGCACAGUCUCUGAAGAAACCAACUAAAGAUGAACAUUUUAUUUCACGUAAUGUGAUAAAGAUUACUUUGUUUUAGAUUACCGACAUUGUUUCAAAAGCUGUUAUCUGGAAA